rnacentral:lncRNA from 1 species
UUUAUAUUUUGGCAAUGGUUUCAUUAAUAGUUUAGUAUUAAUUAAACUGUUAAUGAUAAUGGAAUUGUUUAAUGUUUAAAUCGUUUAAUUAUGUUUCCGAUGUUUGAAAGUUAUAGCCGGUCAAACUAGCUGACUUGAGAACCGGUUAUGAAAUUCUGAAUGUGAUGAAGAACACCUAUAGCAACAGUUAUGUCACUAUAGGCCCGUUAGUGACAGAUUUGAAUUAUUUGAAAAUUUUCAAUUUCUUGAAAUUCCAAAAAUGAUUAAAAAUAAAAUGUCUGAUAUUUACAGAUGUUGAAGUAUAGAAUAAGAGUCUUAGACUCAGUAAUUACCCGAUAAAGCAGUCGGUACGCCGACAAAUGUCAGACCUUAUAAAAGAAAGAAAAGGCUACUGUAAGAGCAUGGAUGAGAUAUUUGAAAAAUGUAUAAAAAUAUUUCAAGUAUAGAAUAUGCACUAAAAGUAUGAUCACUGUAAUUAUGUGAUGACGUGAUUAGACUAUGUGCUGACUGUAAUAGACAGUACUAUGUGUUAAUAUAUAUUGUUCUAAUUGAACGAAUGAUCUAAUUAUUGAUAGGUUACGAUAAAGAGAUAAAACCUAAGUUGAGAUUUGUAAUUAGCAAAUCAGGCAAGUAUCCUACCUUUGCACUUCCUUUAUGUAAUGGACAUGAGUAAGAAGUUUCAGAAUUAUUCUAUCCCUGUACAGAUUAUGUACUCUUUGAUUAUCGACAUGUU